AUAUCUCUUUUAACUUGGUGAGAUAUUGUACAGCUUCAACUGUAGGUAGAUACAUCAGAUUCGCACACCAAAUUAUACGUGGAUACUUAAGAGAUGCAAGGUUUCUCAGCCACUCUGGAAGAGCCUCCAUUCCGUCAAAGGAUAGUAUUUCCAAACAUGUUAGAGAAGUAAAGUGUUGAACUUGUUCAGGCGGAGACUCGAGCUUAG
rnacentral:lncRNA from 1 species